rnacentral:rRNA from 1 species
UACGUAGGGGGCUAGCGUUGUCCGGAAUCAUUGGGCGUAAAGAGCGUGUAGGCGGUCCGGUAAGUCCGUUGUGAAAGUCAAGGGCUCAACCCUUGAAUGCCGGCGGAUACUGUCGGGCUAGAGUCCGGAAGAGGCGAGUGGAAUUCCCGGUGUAGCGGUGAAAUGCGCAGAUAUCGGGAGGAACACCUAUGGCGAAGGCAGCUCACUGGACCGGUACUGACGCUGAUGCGCGAAAGCGUGGGGAGCAAACGGG